GGUUAAGUGAAUAAGGGCGCACGGUGGAUGCCUUGGCACUAGGAGCCGAUGAAGGACGGGACUAACACCGAUAUGCUUUGGGGAGCUGUAAGUAAGCUAUGAUCCAGAGAUUUCCGAAUGGGGGAACCCAAUAUCUUUUAUAGGAUAUUACUUUUCAGUGAAUACAUAGCUGAUUAGAGGUAGACGCAGAGAACUGAAACAUCUUAGUA
rnacentral:rRNA from 1 species